GUGCCUACGGGAGGCAGCAGUGGGGAAUAUUGCGCAAUGGGCGAAAGCCUGACGCAGCGACGCCGCGUGAGGGAUGAAGGUCUUCGGAUCGUAAACCUCUGUCAGCAGGGAAGAACGGUCACUGUGCUAAUCAGCAGUGAAUUGACGGUACCUGCAAAGGAAGCACCGGCUAACUCCGUGCCAGCAGCCGCGGUAAUACGGAGGGAGCAGGCGUUGUCCGGAAUUACUGGGCGUAAAGGGCGCGUAGGUGGGCGCUUAAGUCAGGUGUGAAAACUCCGGGCUCAACCUGGAGACUGCACUUGAAA
rnacentral:rRNA from 1 species